UACAAAUAAAAAGUAAUUCGAAAUAUUACAUAACUAUAAUAGUAUCUUUAAAAGGUCAAGUUGGGCAUACUGCAUUGUGGGACACAGUAUUCCUUGCAAAUUUUAGUGAAAGCAGUAGUUACUGUGAUGCAUACAGGACAUGUGCGUACUGCACCGUGUGCAUACUAAAUACUGUAAAUGUGUUUCUGAAAUCAGUCUUUGUGAUUGAGUCUGUGUGAGUGUGUUUUGAGAGUAACAUGCUAAGUGGCCAAGAUUAUUCACCGUUAUCCUCUCGGUGUGUGUGUGUGUGUUUCAGGAUGUGUGUGUGUGCACUUUGGCGGGUCCGGCGGUGGCGGCCCGCGAGUGCUGUUACUCAGGAACAAGCAGGGCUUUUAUCACAUCUCCAGCUCUGACUCAGAAACUGCAUUUCGCUGCUCUCUCUCUUUCUUCGGGACGGUGAGCGGACGCAGUUCUCCGCAGCAGUUCAGUGCAGGAGCAGCCGCGCACGGCCUGUCUCUAGAGAGGGAAUCCCAGGCCCCUGUCUGUCUGUCCUUCGGUCUCUGGAGACGUCAAACCAGCACUCUCGUCUCUGAACGCUCGUGUCAGUUCAACUGAUUGAAUGCUGGGUGAAUGCAAGUAAAUUUUUAUUCACAGGUCCUCUUUUGAAGGCAAGACGCAUCAGAAUUAUGACUCACCAGCAGAAGAAAUACUGAGCAGGUACAGUGAGGGGUGUGCACCCGUGGUUGGUUGACCUUUGUAUGUAGUCAUGUGUGCAGGUUGGUUCACCUGUGGUGGUGAGUUCUGGUUAAGUCAAGUGAUCUAGAGGUGUGUGGGUGACCAGAACUUUCAACCCACCUGCGGCUCAGCGCUGUGACUCAUCCACACACUUGCUGCUUUCUUCUGAUCUACUGUCACGUGAUGCCCUGAAGUUAUGGACCUGAGCCAUAUUCACAGACCAGACUAUCAGGGUGCAGGACCCCUAUGACCAGGACCGUAAUAGCCUAAAGAUGGGUCAUAUCUAGAGAUAGUCCUUGUUCUCAACAACCUGUGUGGCUUUAGAAGAUUCGACAGAAGUUACAGAGGAAACUCAAGUUAUGCUGCAUCAUAUUUUAUAUAUUUAUUUUAUAUGUUGUAUUAAAAUUUUAUUUAUAUUAAAUAUUUUUGUGUUCUCAUAACUUCUCAAUGCCGUAAGAAGCAAAAUUUAGUGAAAUUAGUUUAUUAAAUAUUUUAUGUAUUUUAUGACCUGAUUGUGUUGAAGUCAGUCACAGUUUUUAUUUAUUUAUUUAUGUAUUUAUUUAUUUGUUCUAAAUAGCUAGUCCUACUCUAGAUGGAUGGCCAGUCACAGUUGUUAUUAUUAUUAUUAUUAUUAUUAUUAUUAUUAUUAUUAUUAUUAUUGUCCUUUAUGUGAAUACUUUCAGUUUAAUUUUUGUGAUGCAUUUUUGCAUUAUCAUAACUUCUCACUGCUGUUACCUGAAUAUUUAACAUUU